AGUGAACGCUGGCGGUAGGCCUAACACAUGCAAGUCGAACGGCGGCACAGUAAGAGCUCGCUCUUACGGGUGGCGAGUGGCGGACGGGUGAGGAAUACAUCGGAAUCUACUUUUUCGUGGGGGAUAACGUAGGGAAACUUACGCUAAUACCUCAUACGACCUACGGGUGAAAGCAGGGGAUCUUCGCACCUUGCGCGUUUGAAUGAGCCGAUGGCGGAUUAGCUAGUUGGCGGGGUAAAGGCCCACCAAGGCGACGAUGCGUUGCUGGUCUGAGAGGAUGAUAGGCCAAAAUGGAAAUGAGAAACGGUCCAGACUCCUACGGGAGGCAGCAGUAGGGAAUAUUGGGCAAUGGGCGAAAGCCUGACGCAGCCAAGCCGCGGGGGUGAAGAAGGCCUUCGGGUUGUAAAGCCCUGUUGUUGGGAAAGAAAAGCAGCAGGUGAAUACACCGCUGUUCUGACGGUACCCAAAGAAUAAGCACCGGCUAACUUCGUG
rnacentral:rRNA from 1 species